UGAGGAAUAUUGGUCAAUGGGCGGAAGCCUGAACCAGCCAAGUAGCGUGAGGGAAGACUGCCCUAUGGGUUGUAAACCUCUUUUAUAAGGGAAUAAAAUACGGGACGUGUCCUGUUUUGCAUGUACCUUAUGAAUAAGGACCGGCUAAUUCCGUGCCAGCAGCCGCGGUAAUACGGAAGGUCCGGGCGUUAUCCGGAUUUAUUGGGUUUAAAGGGUGCGCAGGCGGACUCGUCAAGUCAGCGGUAAAAAUUCGGGGCUCAACCCCGUCCUGCCGUUGAAACUGCGAGACUGGAGUGCGACAGAGGAAGGCGGAAUGCGAGGUGUAGCGGUGAAAUGCAUAGAUAUCGCGCAGAACUCCGAUUGCGAAGGCAGCCUUCCAUGUCGUAACUGACGCUGAGGCACGAAAGCGUGGGGAUCGAACAGGAUUAGAUACCCUGGUAGU
rnacentral:rRNA from 1 species